UGGUGCCUUUUGGUACUGUGGAUAGGGGUACGGUUUUCCACCGUACCGAAACCUAGCAGAGGGCCAGUCUGGUGCCAGCAGCUGCGGUAAUUCCAGCUCUGCGAGUUUGCUCCCAUAUUGUUGCAGUUAAAACGCCCGUAGUCUGAAUUGGCCAGCAAUGGUCGUACGUAUUUUUACGUUCACUGUGAACAAAUCAGGACGCUUAGAGUAUGGCCACAUGAAUGACUCAGCGCAGUAUGAAGUCUUUGUUUUCUUCCGAAAACAAGCUCAAUGAGAGCCAUCGGGGGUAGAUCUAUCUCAUGACGAGUGGUGGAAUACUUUGACUCAUGAGAGAGAAGCUGAGGCGAAGGCGUCUACCUAGAGGGUUUCUGUCGAUCAAGGGCGAGAGUAGGAGUAUCCAACAGGAUUAGAGACCCUGGUAGUUCCUACCUUAAACGAUGCCGACAGGAGUUUGUCAUUUGUUAAUGGCAGAAUCUUUGGAGAAAUCAUAGUUCUUGGGCUCUGGGGGAACUACGACCGCAAGGCUGAAACUUGAAGGAAUUGACGGAAGGGCACACCAGGGGUGGAGCCUGUGGCUUAAUUUGAAUCAACACGGGGAAACUUACCAGGACCAGAUGUUUUUUAUGACUGACAGGCUUCGGGUCUUUCAGGAUAUUGUUUUUGGUGGUGCAUGGCCGUUGGUGGUGCGUGGGUUGACCUGUCUAGCGUUGAUUCAGCUAACGAGCGAGAUUAUCGCCAAUUAUUUACUUUGCCGAAGUCCUUCGGUUAAAGUUCUAAUUGGGACUCCCUGCGAUUUUAGCAGGUGGAAGAGGGUAGCAAUAACAGGUCCGUGAUGCCCUUUAGAUGCUCUGGGCUGCACGCGUGCUACAAUGUUAGGAUCAAUAGGACUGCGAGCCUGAGAGGGUGCGCUACUCUUAUAAUCCCUAACGUAAUUGGGAUUGACGUUUGUAAUCAGCGUCAUGAACCAAGAAUCCCUUGUAAAUGUGUGUCAACAACGCACGUUGAAUACGUCCCUGCCCUUUGUACACACCGCCCGUCCCUCCUACCGAUUGGAUGAAUCGGUGAAAUCACCGGAUGGUUUACCAAGCGAAAGUUGAUUAAAUCACGUUUAUCUAGA
rnacentral:ncRNA from 2 species